UGCAAAAGCAAAGCCGAACGUGGCGGACGUGUUAAAUCGGUCAACGGGUGCGAGCGAGCGAGCGUUUAAUUCGUAUUAUUCGUAAAAAUUGUGUGAUUCUUGGUCAUUUUGUUUUUCUGUUGUUUUUCGCCGGUGAGAUAAAACAACAACGGCAUUCAGUUUUAAAGAAGCAAAGCACAAGAGUAAGAAGCAAAAGCAAAAAUUGAAAAUAAAUAAAAUAUAUUAAAAAAAAGCCGCAAAAUGCGCGCGUGUUUUUAUCCAAGUUAAUCAAAAAAAAAAAGAAAAGAAAUAAAAUCUAUGCAACCCUCUUUUUUGUUGUUGUUUUUUUUUUUAUAUGAAAGUGAGUGCAAUUAAAAUGCAUAAUAAUUAUUAAUUAUUGCAAAUGUAAUACAUAAAGAAGAAGAAAAAGCAGCAGCGAAAAGAAUAGCACGAAAAUCAAAAGUAAAGCAAAGCAAAGAAAAGAAAAACAGAAGCUGCGACGCUGACUGAGAGCAACUAAAGCGAAAGCUCUAGAAGAAACCAAAAAUAAUUGUUGAUCCUUUUCAGGAUUAUCUAUGGAUUUCAACAGUUUGCUAUGUAAAUUUAUGAUAAUAAGAUUGCCAUCAUCAUUGUUGUUGUCGCCGGCUAACGGUCAAAGUUUGAAGUGAGCAGCGACAGCGGCAGCAACAACUGAAAAAUCAACUGCACUCAUCCCCCCACCACCACCCCAAUCAUCAAUAUUGAGCGAGUUGUUUUCAAUUUUGAUUCACAACGAACGUCAGCGUCGCGACGUCGACGUCAGCAGCAGCAGCAAAACAGCUGAUUAACAUGUUGUUCAAAGGGUAAGUUGACCACAUUUCACACUUAGCUUAUAUAAUAG